GCCCCUGUAGCUCAGUGGAUAGAGCGUUGGCCUCCGGAGCCAAAAGCGACGGUUCGAGUCCGUCCAGGGGUA
rnacentral:tRNA from 1 species